UUUGAACUGCUCUGCUUUUUCUGUUUAUCGUCGUAAUUUUAGCUGUUAAGUUGCACGUUAUUUACUUACUGAUUGUUUCUGUCAGCAGAUGUAUUUUCUUAUUCCUGACCAGGUAGGAGUUACAGUUUUGUCCACUAUAUGUUCUGUGUUAUCUCUUACUUUUUUGGGAUUGCACGUUAAGCUCAUACAUUUAUUUUUAACAUUAGUAAAAACAUUUCAUCUGUCUCUCUCUACACUUUGCAGACAUGUGCGCCUGAGUAUGUGCCUGAUUAUGGAUAUCCCUGUCUUGGUUUUUGCAUGAGCUGUUAUCAGCCCGAUGCUAAUUGCUACUGCAAAUGAUAUCUCAAAUGAAACUUUUGACAUUAAAUGUUAUCCAAAAUUAUUUUUCAAGACAGAAAGUGGAAAUAUUUUGCUGUAUGAAGGAGAUAGAAUGAAGGAAGAACCAGAAUCAAGAAAAGAGAAGCUGUAAUUUAGAUGGAGCAUCAUUAUCUUUGGCAAGUCAUUUCGUGAAAACAAUCGAGGAUGAUUUUAGCGUCUCGAGAAACCAGGAAAGAAAGCCUUCAUUGAUGAGAAUCUUCUCCUCCUCAAAACCUCCCAACCCCUCUCCUUUCUCCCUUGUGGCAUUUUCCGAUACCUAGAAUUAGAUUUUACAAUAAAAGCAAGAAUCUCGUUUGGGAUACAAAUGCUAGUAUUAUUCAGGCGAACAUUCUUGACUAUUUUGUGCUCCUUAGUCCAACAUAUCAUUUUCUCCCUACAAGUUGUAUAUGGGCAAUUAUAACUUUCAGUAAGGAUUGAUGCCAAUAGUUGAAAUCUUGUAUAUGGGCAAUUAUAAGGAUUGAUGCCAAUAGCUGAAAUAUUGGUAAUUGGUAUUACUAAA